AGCAGCCGCGGUAAUUCCAGCUCCAAUAGCGUAUAUUAAAGUUGUUGCAGUUAAAAAAGCUCGUAGUUGAACUUCGGGAUUUAUUCAUUGGUCAGGCUUAACUGUCUGUACUGGUGUAUUGAAUUCCUACCUUCUGAGGAAUCAUCAUGUCAUUAACUUGGUGUGGUGGGGAAUCAGGACUGUUACUUUGAAAAAAUUAGAGUGUUUAAAGCAGGCUAACGUCUGAAUACAUUAGCAUGGAAUAAUAGAAUAGGACGGUUUGGUUCUAUUUUGUUGGUUUCUAGGAUCACCGUAAUGAUUAAUAGGGAGUAGUUGGGGGCAUUAGUAUUCAAUUGUCAGAGGUGAAAUUCUUGGAUUUAUUGAAGACUAACUACUGCGAAAGCAUUUGCCAAAGAUGUUUUCAUUAAUCAAGAACGAAAGUUAAGGGAUCGAAGACGAUCAGAUACCGUCGUAGUCUUAACCAUAAACUAUGCCGACUAGGGAUCGGACGUAAGUUAAUUUUUAAAUGACUCGUUCGGCGCCGUUACGGGAACC
rnacentral:rRNA from 1 species